GCCAGCAUGAUGUAGUGGUUUGAGCAUCAGACUAUAACCCUGGAGACCAAGGUUCAAAUCCCUGCUCAGCCA
rnacentral:tRNA from 1 species